CUUCUUGCUCAGAUGCAGGAACGUGUCCAGAGAAGGGCAACACAGAUGGUGAAGGGUCUGGAGCACAAGUCUUAUGUGAAGCAGCUAAGGGAGCUGUGGUUGUUUAUCCUGGAGAAAAGGAGUCUUGGGAAGUGGGAGGCUUAAUAUUGCUCUGUACAACUCCCUGAAGGGAGGUUGUGGCAAGCUUAUACACUCUUGGGAAUCAGGGCAGAGGACUGAUUCUGCAGUAAAGCCAUUCUUCCUGUGAUUCAGAGAGCAGCAAGAUUUACUUGCAGGAGUCUGAAUCUUGGAAGCUAGGAACAAGGCAAACUUGCUGCAGUACCCAGGCAGGAAUACAAGCCCAAGACUGGUGGAGAUUUGACUUCUUCCUUUGCCACUCCAGUAAAUAAUAUUGAUUCCUUUGCCUAAGUGUUCAUUUUUGUCUUUUAAAACAGAAUAAUAAAGCAGAGCCUUCUCCAAGA